rnacentral:lncRNA from 1 species
CCACUGCCCAUUCGCCUGACGAACACAGGCUUCUUUUAGCGAGGCAGCGGGGGAUGAAGUCUCCCGUGGUGGUGGAGCCUGGGCUUAGCUGGGGGCUCCCAGCUCACGGGGCUUGAACUUGGCCAAGGUCGUGAAGCUGAGGAGCGGCAGGCGAGAGUCCAGCCUCUCCACUAUGUGCUAUGCUGCUUUUCUGGAAGUUGUUUCCAAGCCCUGUGGAUGAAAGGCCUGUCCUUGCCUCGCUCCCUCCACAGUGAAAACAGCCUCCAUUCUGUGCCAGGCGGGAGCUCUCAGGGCUGGGUGUGUGACCCCACUCUGGCAAACAAGGACUAGGAGGACCUACCUCACAAGAUUGUUGGAAGGAUUAAAUUCACAUAAAGUGCUUAGAACACUACUUUGGACACUCUUUCUGUGUCUUCAGUCAUCAUUUACAAACACUUAAAUAAAUAUCUACGUAUUCCCACCUCCUUUGCAGCAGAUCUAACCAUACAACUAAGUUGUGGCCAAUGGAAUGUAAGUAGAAGUGGUAUGUGCAACUUCCAGGAAUUGCCCUCAAAUGGAGAGAUUGUGCCUUUCUCCUCCCCUUUGUCUCUUUCCUGCUAAAUGAAAUUUAGGAAUGGUGGCUGGAGCUGGAGCAGCCAUUUUGGACCAUGAGGCAAAAGCUGAAUGUGGAGGAUUUUGAAGCAACAAGAUAGGAAAUGUCCAAAUCCCUAACAAUUGUGGUACCAACAUACCAGCCUGGACUGCAUUCCUGGACACUCACAUGAGAAAAAUAAACAUCUAUUUUGUUUAGGCCCC